UACGUAUUUAGCCGGGGCUUCUUAGUCAGGUACCGUCAUUUUCUUCCCUGCUGAUAGGGCUUUACAUACCGAAGUACUCCAUCGCCCACGCGGCGUCGCUGCAUCAGGGUUCCCCCCAUUGUGCAAUAUCCCCCACUGCUGCCUCCCGUAGGAGUCUGGGCCGUGUCUCAGUCCCAAUGUGGCCGUCCACCCUCUCAGGCCGGCUACUGAUCGUCGCCUUGGUGGGCCGUUACCCCGCCAACAAGCUAAUCAGACGCGAGCCCAUCCUGCACCAUAUUACUUUCCACACCGCCCCAUGCGGGGCUGUGCGCCUAUGCGGUAUUAGCAGCCGUUUCCAGCUGUUGUCCCCCAGUGCAGGGCAGGUUGCUCACGCGUUACUCACCCGUCCGCCACUAGGCAGCGCCAAUUUCCGCUCCGAAAAGUUUCCAUCGGCGCGCCCCGUUCGACUUGCAUGUGUUAGGCACGCCGCCAGCGUUCAUCCUGAGCCAGGAUCAAACUCU
rnacentral:rRNA from 1 species